CAUGGUGGGAGACCUUUCYACCAUGCUCCCUAUCCCUUCAAGGAUAGUUCAGAUCCUGUGAAACCUCCUCUGCCUUGCUGGAGCUGUUCCUUGCCUGCAGCCCCUGGGARGAGCAUCACCUUAAGCCUCCCAGGUACUACAAUCUGCUGAUUAACACCCCCCUGUAACACCCCUUGUAGCUCUUCCCUUUGUGAGUCCUUCCCAUCACCUUUGCUCAACAGGUUUCCCACUGUCUUGCAGUCAUUMAUGCAGGAAUCCUUCCUUUAACCUGCACUUUUUUGGCCCAGACCGGCAGACACUUCUGUGUGYUGGGAUGUGAAUGACCCCCAGAUCACCUUUUCAUUAGCUGGWGCAAAGCUUUGGCUUAAAACAAAUUAUUAGCAAGAAAAAUAAUGACACUGUGGAUUAUGUUUGACAGUGGAAGAAACCAGAUGCCCCUCAGCCAGCAGUGUGAGGGACUGACAGCCUAAUGGGGUUCCUGACCUGGUGUGUCAUGGGACCACCCUGUCACGCACACUGGAAGGGGAGCAAGUUCCUGUCCAUGAGAUACCCAGGACACAAACAAGGCUGGAGUGAGGAAGGAAGGCAGAGAGGCAGGAAGGGAAGCUGGCUGCCAUCAGGAAGCAAAACAGUCWCCUAAAUUCCGUGGCCAUCUCCUGUGUUCCUCUAGGGAAAGCUCUUCUCGUCCUGAUUUGGACAUCAAACCCUGACCUGAYCAAGGGCACUUUGAUGUGCUCCUCAUCCCACUGGGCACCUCACAGCACUGUCAGGAUCUGAACCUGGCUCCCCUCUGGUCAUCACAUUUGCAAAGGAUGAACUUGGAUGAAACUGAGCAAGCGCAGUGGUGAUGGAGCAAGAACUGGCAUUAAAAUGGAAUAAUCUUUUGCUGCCCUGAAAGACCGAUGGAACCCAAAGUCCUGGUCAAAAUGAACACAAUGGACUUUUACAGGAAUAGUCCAUCAACUGAGGGAAUGAACUSUGUGUGUGUAUCCAUCAGAGCGCAGGGAAAGGUGAUGGGGUACUGGGAAGUGUUGAAYCUGGCACGCCAUCAGUGUCAGGAUAAGAAGUGAAUACUGCCCUAGUUUUUCUGGGAGAGAGUUAAUUUUCUUCUCCAUAGCUGAUCCAGGGCUGUGGUUUGGAUUUGGGAUGAGAAUAAUGUUGAGAGCACAGGGAUGUUUGAGCUGUUGCUGAGGUUACUCCGAAUUAAGGACCUUCCACUGUCCUAUGCUGUGCCAGUGAGGAGCUGCCCAGGAAGCUGAAGGAAGCAUGGCCAGGACAGCUGAGGGAUAUUCCCAUACCACAGAACAUCAUAUCCCAUAUGUAAACUGUGGGAAAUUGGCCAGGAGCCUCCAAUUGCUCUCAGUGGCAGCCUGGGCAUUGGCCAGCAGAUGGGCAGCAUGAACUGUGCACCCUGGUUUCCCUUGGGUGUUCUUUUAACAUUUUUUUAAAAUUGCAGCUAUUAUCAUUAGUAGUAUGAAGCAUCACUGUUAUUAUUGGUAUUUUCAUAUUUUUGUGAUCUUUCAGUUAUCAAACUGUUCUUAUCUCAACCCACAGAAUCCUCUUCCUUUUUUUACUUGUGGUAAAACCUUUCAUUGUAUCAGGUCUUUGGCUCUUGGCCGAGGCUUAAAGAAGGGAUUCAACUAAAGAUGAGCAGAGAAUAUGCUCUGGUAGACAGUAAGAGAUUUGGUACUUCUGUGGGAGCCCCAGCAGUUCGGGAUUCAUCUCUCACUGGAGCAAAAGUUCUUCAGUUUCAUUUGAAAAUGAGAAGGGGCCAAACUUCCUGGACAUACCAGCUUGUUCCACGGCUCUGGUCUUCAGAGGAAGCUUUUCUCCUCACCCUGUUUCUCAUCCCAGGAGAAAUCUGAGCCUUCUGGGGYUGGACAUUGCUCCAGUGUUGCUAGCCCUAAGCCAAAUCUUCCCCCAAAGGAUGUGCUUGCCCUGGCCUUGCUCUGGACUGGAACUGUGCUUCAGCAGCUGCAGCGUGAACCUCACAGAACGUGGAGCCCUGAAACCCUGAGUGUUCUGCUGUGAAUAACCCAGGACAAGAGGCACGGGUGCUUGACCUCUCCAGGAGGUCUCAGGGCUGUUCCAAAGUCCUGCUCCGGAGAUGUUCUUACAGCGUGUGUGCACCAAGUGCUGCUCCUUGGAGCAAGAGAAAGGCAUCAUCCCUGUUACAGACCCACAAAGUCUUCUUUUGUGGGCUUUUUUAUCGGAUGGAAACAGCUCUAGAGCAGCAGGGAUAAAAMCAGCCAUGGGGUUGGAUGACCCCAGGAGURGCCCCAUGGGACUCCCAAAACCAUCAGGGCAUUGGGGUCCAGUGAGAGAAGGUCCAGCAC